rnacentral:tRNA from 1 species
GAAAGAGAAGUUUAUAUGAAUAAAUGCUUAAUUUACGUUUAAGUGAUUCCCUUAGUGGACUCUUUUA